ensembl:lncRNA
GUGGAAUGAUACGGCCGCUGUGCGGCGCUGCGUCUGCUGAUAGCGGUGCCGAUCGGUGCCAGCACGGAGCUACGGGCGGGCGGUGCCGGCGGGUUUGUAGGGCCGCGGUGGGGCGUUGGAACUCCAGCGCACGCUGCUGCCUCAGCCCAAACUCGGUGUCGACGAGAACCCCCGAGUCCCGUUCUGCAGGCUGCUCUCCGGUCUCUCAUUCCCCGCCUGUAGCCGUGGCCAGGGCUGCACGCCCAGCGGCAGGAUUCGGCCCUUGCUCUGGCUGGAUUCCAUGCUGCCGGGGGUUGCCCAGCCCUGCCGUGCAUCCAGGGCUCCGCAAGGCCUCUCUGCCCCUGAGGGAGUCAGCUCCUCCACUUUAGGGCUGUCCUCAAACUCGGGGUCCAUUCAAGUCCUGCAUCCAGACACCAUCUCCAGACCCAACCUCUCCUUUGUAGAUGAGGCACUUGAUCCCAUAGAGAGGGGUGUGAUUUAAGAAGCUCAGAGAACACCACUGAUCUCAUCGGAUUGCUUUCUAAAUGUCUACAAUAUCCAAUAAAAGCACAGGAACUGACGAGGGGUCGCACAUCUGUUGAUGCCAUCAGCAAAACGCACGCAGUGUCUUUGUCGAGUUGGGCCUCCGGAGCAGCCUCUGGGAGACUGGUGGCAUUGCAGAGCACUGCAGAGCAUUACAGAGCGUUGCAGAGCAUUGCAGAGCGUUGCAGAGCAUUGCAGAGCACUGCCUGGGUACGCAGCCACUGCAGCAGAAGCUGUGCAAUGGAAAUCACGGAGCAUUCGCAAGAAAUGCCACCAAACUGAGAAGGGAUUGCUGUUUUCUUUGGUGACCGUUGCUUGGGAAACUGAUGUGCACCUCUGAAUGGAGAACCGGAGGGACACCAAAGAGGCCAGAAGGGAACCGUUCAGGGGACCCCCCUGCCAUAAAAGCGCCGUAAGAAAGCUGCAGCAGGAGCCUGAAGUCUGGAGAUCCCAUGAGAGAUGCAACAAGUGGACAAAACAUGAGAUCUGUGUGAUGUGUUCAACCCAAUGAGCCAUUUUCUGUUUUCUUUCUCCCAUAUUUCCAGCACUUAUGAAUGGUUUGCAUGUCAGCAGAAUUUCCCCCUUUAGUUCAUCCUCUGCUCUCUUUGCCCUGCUGCAUUCUCGGAGCAACGUUCCCAUGAGAUCUUUCUGCAAGGCCUCUCUACCCUCAACAGAGUCGACAGCUCCUCCCAGUUUAGUAUCAUCAGCAAACAUGCUCAAAACACCAUCAAGUCCUUCAUCUGAGUCAUUCCGGAAAAUUUAAAAGAGAACAAGCCCUAAAAUGGAGCCUUAGGGAACCCUGCUAGUGCCAGCCUGAGGUAACCCCAUUUACGAGAACCCUUUGGGCCCGACUCAUCAGCCAAUUGCUCACCCAUCACAUUAUGGCUUUCUGUAGCUGUAUGCUGGACAUUUUGUCCAGAAUGGUACUGUGAGAAACAGUAUUGAAAGCUUUACUGAAAUCUGAAAAGAUAACAUCAGCUGGUUUCCCCAGAUCAACUACUUGGGCAACCUUGUCAUAAAGGGAAAUUCAGUUGUUCAACACGACCUUCCCCUCAUGAACAUGCGUUGGCUGGGACCAGUGACCACAUUGUCCUCCAGGUGUUUUUCAGUAACUUCCAGCAACAUUUUCUCCAUAAUCUUACCAGGAAAAGAAGUGAGAGCGAUGGGCCUGUAAUUACCGGGGUCUUCUUUUAUGCCCUCCCUAAACUGGAAUGUUUACCAGCUUCAGCACCAUCCACAGCGGCAGCCUGAUGCCUUCCCUAUGAGCUGAGACCUUGCUGUUCUCAGUGCUCUGGUCUCUUUGGGAAGUGCUGCCUCCCCCAUGCACUCCUGGCAAUCCCUUCUGGACCUCAAACCCCUGAGAGCCCCACUCACUUCUGCAAGGCUGUGGUCUGCCAUGUGCUGGUAUGUUGCAUCAGCUCAACCCCAUAUGCUCACGUAGGGUGUUCCCCCCAAGUGACGGAACUGCAGUGUUUCCAGGAAACAAUUGCAGCUGUAACCAGCAAAAAUCCCUGCACAGGAUUCAUCAUCACAGUUAGGGAUGAACCAACGCACCAAGCUCUGAAAAGAGGAUGUGGGCACAGCAGCAGUGAUAACAUCUCUCUGUGCCCACUAACAAGUGACAGUAGCUGUCAGACACAGAAACUUCUGACUGUGCCCCCACUGCAGACACACAGCACGCUGUACAGCUGCCAUCAGUUCUCUGCUGUGCUAUCCUGAGAGAGCUGAGGAAUCAGAGCACCUUCUGUUGGUGAGAUGCUGAAGGUGGAGAGGAUCCUGAUGUGCAGUGUGCUGAUCGGAGCUUCACCAAGGGCUUUGGGAGUGAAGGCCGCAGGGAGCCUGCAGUGCUUGAUGUUUUAAUAAAAACAGCCCUCCUGUGCUGGAACAACUCCAGAGUGUUUGGACACUUUGCCUAUCUCCUCCGUAGUGUUUUCUGUGCAUGCCUCAGCACACAGGAACGCGCUGCAUCAGUCCCAGCCCAGGCUGACCUCUGGCUGGCUCCCACCAGGCAGUUACUGAGCUGUUCAUCCCUCCUGCAAAGCUCUGUCCUGCUGUGGGCCAAUUAGUAACUCUGAACACUUUCUUUGGUGGUGCUUUAUUAAUUAGAUUUAAGCACAUCUUAUCCAAAACACUGCUUUGCAUAUCAUAGGGCCAUUUUUACAUUGGUUUUUGGUUCUUGUAACUGAAGCAGUUUGAACAGACAUUAAAGAAAACUCUGCUUUUGAUAAAUAAAGUGAGAUUCAGACAGUAUCCCCUAGAGGGGAGGAAGGGCAGAUGACCCUGCAGCAGUUCCGCUAUCGCUGCAUGUAACACUGAGGAGUGGAGAAGGCCAGGUGUUUCAAGUGCUGUGCCUUGUGCAAAGGCUUCUUUCUGUUAGAGCCUUUCACAGCACAGGCACAGUGCAAGAACUGUUGCCUGAGCUGACCUACACCAGCAUCUGUUCCUGAGCCCACCUGCUCCAGGAAAAGCUGGAGAACAACUCCUGUCUGUUCCUUGGAGCUUCUGCUGAGGGAUGGCUGCUGUCCACCUGGCCAGCACAACUGCUGCCCCUGUCAGAGCAAAGGAACCAUCUGCAGCUGCCAUUCCGGGUGGCUGCUUCUACAGGAGGCAAUGAAUUAACCCUUCCAGAGCUGCACAGGAGCAUUUUGAGACUGGC